UACGGAGGGGGCUAGCGUUGUUCGGAAUUACUGGGCGUAAAGCGCACGUAGGCGGCUUUUUAAGUCAGAGGUGAAAGCCCGGAGCUCAACUCCGGAAUUGCCUUUGAGACUGGAUCGCUUGAACGUCGGAGAGGUGAGUGGAAUUCCGAGUGUAGAGGUGAAAUUCGUAGAUAUCGGAAGGAACACCAGUGGCGAAAGCGGCUUCCUGGUCCGACACCGACGUCAGGCACGAAAGCGUGGGGAGCAAACAGGG
rnacentral:rRNA from 1 species